CAGAGAACUUGGGCCCGGUCCGUCGCUGAGGACGCCUCUCCAGACUACAAUUCGGGCGGCGAGGCCGCCCGAUUCUCAAGCUGGGCUGCUCCCGGUUCGCUCGCCGUUACUAGGGGAAUCCUCGUAAGUUUCUUCUCCUCCGCUUAUUUAUAUGCUUAAACUCAGCGGGUAGUCCCGACUGACCUGGGGUCGCGGUCCGAGGGCAAGCUCGGUCGCUCGAUGGGUCCUUAGGGCCGAAUGGCCGGCCGCGCGCCGGGACGCUGCACCGAGAACAACAACUUGAUGUCGCCCACCACGUGCUGCGCCCGGCGCGGUUCGCCGGCAGCCCCUGCUUCGGCCCACCUCGCCGUGCGGCGCGGGGGGCCAGACGCCACGUCCCUCGCCCCGCGGGGGGGUGUUGGGAGUGUCUUUUGGCGUGACGCCCAGGCAGACGUGCCCUCCGCCAGAAGGCUUCGGGCGCAACUUGCGUUCAAAAACUCGAUGGUUCGCGGGAUUCUGCAAUUCACACCAGGUAUCGCAUUUUGCUACGUUCUUCAUCGAUGCGAGAGCCGAGAUAUCCGUUGCCGAGAGUCGUGUCGAUUAAGGUGUAACCGCUGCCCUGGGAGCGGAAGGCGGGCCGACCGCUCCGCGGGGCAGGAGGUAGUACUGGUGUUCCUUGGCGCCCGGGGCGCCGUGGGUUCUUUUUCGCGGCACCCCCCUUCCCCGCGGGAGGUUCGGGGGGGCAGCGUGCCGGGCCGGAGCCCGGCGGCACGGGUGACUCGUUCGCGGUCUGUUUUGUUUAAGGGUCACGGCAAUGAUCCUUCCGCAGGUUCACCUACGGAAACCUUGUUACGACUUCUCCUUCCUCUAAAUGAUAAGGUUCAAUGGACUUCUCGCGACGUCGGGGGCGGCGAACCGCCCCCGUCGCCGCGAUCCGAACACUUCACCGGACCAUUCAAUCGGUAGGAGCGACGGGCGGUGUGUACAAAGGGCAGGGACGUAGUCAACGCGAGCUGAUGACUCGCGCUUACUAGGCAUUCCUCGUUGAAGACCAACAAUUGCAAUGAUCUAUCCCCAUCACGAUGAAAUUUCCCAAGAUUACCCGGGCCUGUCGGCCAAGGCUAUAUACUCGUUGGAUACAUCAGUGUAGCGCGCGUGCAGCCCAGAACAUCUAAGGGCAUCACAGACCUGUUAUUGCCUCAAACUUCCGUGGCCUAAACGGCCAUAGUCCCUCUAAGAAGCUAACUACGGAGGGAUGGCUCCGCAUAGCUAGUUAGCAGGCUGAGGUCUCGUUCGUUAACGGAAUUAACCAGACAAAUCGCUCCACCAACUAAGAACGGCCAUGCACCACCACCCAUAGAAUCAAGAAAGAGCUCUCAGUUUGUCAAUCUGUUGGGACCCUGCCCUCUGCAGCAAGGAGGCCAACAAGGGUGAACAGUGGUGACAACAGGGAUACGUACUCGGGGGCAAUAGCUCUGUUAAUCUCCUUUGUUACGGGCACUGUGCGGGGGUAUUUAUAGGUAUCCGAGUGCACGGCGCCUAGCGCUAAGGACGCAUGUGCCCUCAGGUACCUAGUUUAUCCCUAGAAUAUUCCCAUAAAGCGGGGUUACAAGCUGUAAUUACAAGUGUGCCUUUACAAAUUAGGCCCGUAACACAAACGCGGCCACGCAGGGCCAGUUACAAUGGGCCAGAUCUUAUGUGGGCCUCAGAGCUGAAUGAGGCCGCAACGCGGGGAGGCGUUGCCGCAGGCCUUCGUCUGGUGCCGAGUCGAGCGAAGGGUGUCCCUGCCUGCUUUAUCUGUCAGGGCAGGGGUUAAGCGGUGGAGACUUCGGGCGAAGGGUGGCGUUUCUGCCUUCGCUCCAACAUUUGCCCUCCGAGGGACCAGUUCGACAAAGUCACCUGGUGCCGAAGACGUCGCUAGAUGGCGGAGACGCUGCCCUCGCUCGAAGUGGUUCCGCGGGGGUUUUUGAUGUGACCGUUGAUGGACAACGUACUGUUGGAUUGCGGGUUUUCUGAAGCGUCGCGCCCUGUCGGAUUGCGGGUUUCCCGAAGAGCGUGAUGGUGGAGGAGCUGCGCGCUGGCGACUCUGUUGAUUUUGGUGUGUCACGGAUGACGUCAGCCCGCGUCGAAGACAUGCAGCGGUUGGGCUACUUUGGCGGCGGAGUCGCUCGUGCUCCGGGGACGGAGGAAGUCCCCGAGCCGGAGGGUGAGUUGGUUGUUUUCGAGGCGUUCUUCGUCGCCGGUCUUCGCCUGCCUGCGCAUCGGUUUGUUGGCGAAGUCCUGCGUAGAUUCAACGUUCAAAUACAUCAACUGACACCUAACGCCGUGGUGGCGCUGGCGAAGUAUGUCUGGGCGACGACUUCGUACGGUGGACAGCCGUCGGUUGAAGUUUUUGCGAAGAAUUAUUGCUUGCAUUGGCAGAAAAGGAUGGUUGAGGACGGAGUUGCCCAGUUCGGGUCGUGCACAUUCACGCCGAAGACCGGCAAGACCACAAUGCCAGUAGUGGAGCUGGUUCCGUGCGCCCGCAACAAGUGGGGCAAUUGGAAUGAGCUUUGGUUUUACGUUGCUGAGGCUACUGUCGAAGGCCAUGAGGGGCUCCCUGUGUCUGAGAUGUACUCUCACUAUUACUCUGCGUAUCCGCCUUUUGAAGUGGCGGAAGAGGAUGCAGACGAAGGGGCCCUUCGGUGCGCCGCCGGCCAGAGCAGUGGCCGUGAUUUAGUUGAAGAGUUCGUGGCAUACGGGGUCUGGCCCUUGGCGCACGGCUGGGCGCUGGGCGAAGUGUGCCCUCGCCAGAUGCCUUUUCAUGGAGGGAGGGUGGUGCGAAGUCCCGCCUUUGCACUGAAUUUGCGAAACCGUGACCCGACCGCCUUUGUGCGUGAUGCGGAGGACUUGGCGGUGCGGCUCGUGGGGCGGUACGUGGCGAGGACGGAAGGCCAGCGCAGCUUUGAUAUUCGUGGGUCAAAUGAACGUUUGAACAGGGUCUUCGAAUUAAAUCAAUUGCCGUACGACGGCUACCCUGGUCAAGACGAGGCGGACCACCGUGGGAAGAAGCCGGUGGUGGAGACUGGAAGCGACCCUGCGCUGGCGGCCGCCCCCUCCUCAAAAAGGAGAAAAUUAGGUACUGCGAUGGGAGGAAUUGGGGUGCCUGAUUGUUUUGCUAGAGAGUUAAUGAGGACGUGCGCGGCUCCGGGGGAGAGGAUGUCUUCGCCCGAGCUCCGGGAGUCUUCGGCUCGGAUGCUGAGGGUUACCGGUGGCUGCUGGCCUAGAAAUGUUCCUAUCCCCUGCGCGGCUGAGGAGGACUGUUUUACAUCUCGUAUGGUUCAUCAGUGGAGGGUUUUUCCUUACGGGCGAAAUAUCGGUGCUGUUGUGUGGGCAGUGAUGGACAAGGAUCGCCAAGGGGCGGCGCAAAAACGCCAGGCGACUAUCAGGAUUCACGAAGCCCGGCCGAAGAGGCAGCGGGGAACAGCGAAGGCUGCGGCCUCCAGCGGAGGCAAGCCGCCGCUGGCGGCGAAGGCGGGCGCCUCUGCACCUAGCAAGGCGCCGGAGACAGCGGCGGGCGCCGGAGUCUCCAAACUGACGAAGGUGGUGCCGCCGGCCAGCGGAGUGGCGGAGGCUUCGAAGGCGGCCCGAACGUUGCCGCCACCGGGCAAACGCGUUGCCGACUUCGGCACCGACAUUAGCGUGGACGAUUAUCUUGGGGGUGAGUCGCCCGGCCGCCUUUUUUUUUUACGUGCUCGUUGAUGCGCUGCAGGGUCGGACGAAGGCCGGCUUGCUAUAGUUGCGCCUUCCGCGGCGAUCGCGACGGCUGCGCCGUCGUCGAAGGCGAGGGACGGGACCCUUGGCACCGGAGGCGAGGUGUCGGCCCUCGCAUUGGUCAGGGACGAGGCUGGUGCGGCGACCCGCCGGCUGAAAGGAGUGACGGAGGCGCUGAGUCAGGCGACGGAGGCACUGAGUCAGGUCCGCUGAGCUGUUAUUAUUUUUUUUAUCAUUAUAUAUAUAUAUAUUAUUAUAUUUUUUUUUACGGCCAUGGCCUUACGUGUGCUCUGCAGGUGGCUGACUUCACCAGCCGCACUGCGUCGGGGGCUCUCACGGCGGCUUUGUCUGCCGAAGUCGAGAGACUUCGGACGCAACAUGCUGACGCUGUCCGUGAGAAGUCGGCCUCCGACAGCAAGUGUCGUAAACUAGCGGACAAGGUGGCUGCACUGGAGGAGGAAAAGGCUGUCCUCCGGCGCCAGCUGGCGGGGGAGAGGAGGGAGGCCAACGAGGCUAUCGCCAAGGAGCAGGCCGCGCAGGCGGAGGCUAGGCUGGCACGGGCGGAAGGCAAUCUUGCCAAGGAGCUCGCCGAAGACCUGCGGGAGCGGCUCACCGCUCUGGAGAGCCGCGCGAAGGGGGCCGAAGCCGCGGUGCGAACGGAGGCCGAACGGACGCGCACGCAGCUUAUGGCCACAUAUCGCGAGCUGGGUGCACGGACCGGUGACUUCGUGGUGCCGGAGCGAGAGGCCGGGCUUCGCUGUCUGGAGUGGGUGCAAGAGGAGCUGCAGGAGCUCCCCACUGUCCUGAGGGGGUUAAUGUCGUUCGCCUCCCUGGUCACCUGCGAGGGGGCGAUGAACGCACUCUCUCGCGAAGGGUGCCGGCAUUAUGAGGCCUUCGACCAGGCGGAUGAAGAUUUUGGGCGGAAUAUCUAUAAGGUCGAAGACCCCGUGGUGAAGGAGUCCGCCGGUGCCCUCUAUGACCGGAUGUGGGGUCUGUAUGGUGGUGAUGUGGUCAGGGAGCGGGCCGAGGCUACGAGGGCUCAGGUAACGUUGUCGUUUGUUCGGCGUUUGCUGGAUGUGGUCUGUGCGUGUGUUUGCUGACUUUUUGUAUAUUUUGUUUUAGGCGGAGCGAGGCGAGCGGGUGGACGACUUCGGAGCAUUGAACAGCGCCCUGGCUGACCCGGAGCCGACCCCUGCAGAGGCCGCGACCCGAGCCGCCUCGGAACCAACUCCGGAGACCGCAGAAACCGCACCAGGCGCCCCCACAUCUGCCGCGACAGUUGAAGACCUGUCCCUGAAGGUGGCCGAAGGCGCUCCCGAUGCCCUCGCGGCAGCCGCGCCGACCAGCGGAGAUCCCGCGGUGGAGGCGGUUGAAACAAUGGCGGAAGUGCCGGCGGAGCCAACGGCGGAGGCUCCCGCAGCGUCAGGGCCCUCGCAGGUGGCGUAGUGGUUGUUUAGGGUUGGGAAAUUUUGGAUGUUGUACUGAAUUUUGGUUGCUGCGCAGGUUCAAGAUUUUGGGCCUGCGCACGCAACCACUACUACUGAGUUUUUGGCGGCUUCGACCGCGGAAGGUGAUAAUGAAUAUAGUGGGUCUGCAUCUGAGUUUUUUGAUUUUGACGACUCCGGGAGUUCGGUUGAAUGGACUGAGGAGUCGUCGGAAGAGGACUUGGAUUAUUUUGCGGCCUUGGACGUGGCUGCGGCGGAGGCUUCGCCACACGCCGCGGACGCGCCAGACGUGCCGGGUCCUAGCACCGGGCGCCGUCGACGAAGGGCGGUUGCAAAAUGUAGGGUUAGCGCGGAGGAGCGGGCUCAGCUUUGUGUGAGCAGGGCUGGUCGGCAGGAACUGUUGUCUGUGCCGACCGCCGCGAGUAUAGGGGAGGGGGAACUGCGAAGUCUUUUUGCGGGUGAGGAGCUUAGGAUAAUGUUAUUUAAUUAUAGAGAGAUGGGCGUUAUUCCUAAGGUUGAGCCGAUGUAGAUUGUGGUGCCCUCGCUUGUAUAUGUGUGAAGGCUUGUACGAUGAAGUUGUGUGCCCUCGCGUGCCUGUGCCUGCGAGGACGUUGUGUACCUUUGUCUGGUGCGGUUGAUGCUGUGCUGGUGUGAUUAUAGUUGUUCUUAGCGCGGGUGGUUUGAUGCUGUCGUUUCUGCCUUUGUUGUACUGGUUCGGUUGUGCUCUUGGGCGGCUUCUACGCGGAGUCUUUACGAUAGACAUUGGAUUUUUUCGCACUUGUUGUGCUAAGUCCGGCUGCACCCUUGGGCGACUUCUGCGCGGAUAGUCUUCGCGAUAGACAUUGGAUUCUUUUCGCACUUGUUGUGCUAAGUCCGGCUGCACCCUUGGGCGACUUCUGCGCGGAUAGUCUUCGCGAUAGACAUUGGAUUCUUUUCGCACUUGUUGUGCUAAGUCCGGCUGCACCCUUGGGCGACUUCUGCGCGGAUAGUCUUCGCGAUAGACAUUGGAUUUUUUCGCACUUGUUGUGCUAAGUCCGGCUGCACCCUUGGGCGACUUCUGCGUGGAUUUGUCGCACGCGAGGGUGGCUAGCGCUUGGCCUCGCGGUGACUUCGAAUCGGUCGAAUGCCGAAGACCGUUGUCGCGGUCUUUUUUCGACAUGUUUUUGCGGGGGAUUUUUCUCACAUAUAUUACAUGGCUCCGCCUCGUUAAAAACCUCACCCCCCGGGAGGAAAAGAGUGCGGGCCAGUUCAAGAUUGUUUGUGGCGAAUUACAAGGGCGAGAUCAGCCCUAAAUGAGUCAAACAAAAAACUUGCGAAGGUUGUCGAUGUUCCAGGAAUGCUCCAGGUCCUCGCCAUGUGGCGUUGUGAGCCUGUAAGCGCUGGGGGAAGCUUUUGUCUUGACUAUGAAGGGGCCCUCCCACUUGGGCUCCAACUUGCCCUUGGACUCCGUCCGAGCUGUUCGGACGAGUACGAGGUCCCCCUCGCUGAACUCCCUCGGGAUGACUGUAUGGUCGCGCCAUGCUUUGGUCUGGGCUUGGUAUUUGCUUAGGGCCUGUAGGGCGAAGACCCGGUCUCCGUCAAUGAGAUCUUUUGAGGUUGGCUCGUCCACAUUGGGGACUGCUGACGGGACUGUACGCGGGGACCCGUGCUUUAUUUCUUGCGGGGUCAUUGCCUCCGAUCCGUAUAGAAGGCGGAAAGGAGUGAACCCGGUCGCCCUGCACUCAGUUGUGUUUAGCGCCCAGACUGCCUCCGGUAAUAAAUCGGUCCAUCUGCCUUUUUUUUCAUCGAGGAGCAUCUUCUUGACAGCUGUGAAGAUUUUCCCGUUGGCCCGCUCCACGACCCCGUUGGACUGCGGAUGAUAGACUGAAGCGAAGGCAAGCUUGGUGCCGAUGGAGAAACAAAAAUCCUUGAAAUCUUGAUUGUCGAACUGCUUGCCGUUGUCGACUGUUAGCUCGGAUGGUACUCCGAAGCGGCAGACAUUGUUCUGCCAGAAGAAUUUUUGGGCAGUCUUUGAUGUGAUUGUGGAAACAGCCCUCGCUUCGAUCCAUUUGGUGAAGUAUUCGACGGCUACGAAGGCAAACUUAAGGUUCCCCUGAGCGGUGGGCAGGGGCCCGACAAUGUCUAGGCCCCAGCGCUGGAGAGGCCAUGUAUGGGCGAUCAGCUUUGUAUAUUGCGAGGGGUUGCCUGACCGGGGAGAGAACUUCUGGCAGGCUUCGCAGGACCUUGUGACGCGAUUUGCGGCGCAGAUUAUUGCGGGCCAGUAAAACCCUUGUCGGAUCACCUUGGCAGCCAGGGCCCUUGGACCUGCGUGCGAGCCGCACGUGCCACUGUGGACUUCGCGUAGGAUCUGCAUGCCUUCGGUUUCAGUGACGCAUUUAAGCAUUGGCUGACUGACCCCUUUCUUGUAUAACUGGCCCUCAAUCAGUGCGAAGUCCCGGCUUCGGUGCCUGAGGCGCUUUGCCUCACUGACGUCGGUUGGAUGAUAAUACCCCUGUAGAAACAGGGUUAUUGGUGCCCGCCAGUCUUCGGUCAUGAUUAGGUUGACUAUGCGGUGGCCCUCGCUAUCAUUAGUUAUGUGGAGCCCUUCGGGGCUCCGGACGGCUGGCGUGCCGAUGGUGUGAAAGAAUACGUCGGAAGGCAAGGGCUCGCCCCUGGCGGCGGCCUUGGCUAAUGCAUCGGCCUCCUCGUUCUUGGCCCUGUCCACAUGUUGUAAGGUGAAUCCCUUGAACUGUCUCUCGAGGCUUCGAAUGGCCGCGAGGUAUUGCAUGAGCGCGGGGUCUUUUGCUGCGUAAUCUUUCUCGACCUAGCCGGUGACUAUCUUGGAGUCUGUCUUGAUGAUACAUGUGGUGACUCCGAGGGCCCUUAGCUUGCGGAGGCCUAGAAUGACCGCUUCAUACUCUGCUAUGUUGUUUGUGCAUCUGUCGGACUCCAGAGCGAAGCUGAGGCGUGCUGCAUAUCUGUGUUUGAUUCCUGCUGGUGAGGUGACUACUGCAGCGACGCUUGCCCCCGCAUGGCACCAUGCGCCGUCGCAGUGGAUGGUCCAGACCUUCUCUGUGCUCGGGUCCGGCUGUGUUGCUGGCCCGGUCCAGUCGACGACGAAGUCUGCCAGGACUUGUGAUUUGAUGGCUGUCCUGGGCUCGAAGCUGAUGUGGUAGCCGGAGAGUUCGGCUGCCCACUUGGCGAUCCUCACCGAUGCCUCCGGGUUUCUGAACAGUUCGCCGAGCCCCCUGUUUGAGGUGACACGGACCUUAAAUGCUUCAAAGUAAUGGCGCAUCUUGCGCGAGGACAUAACAACUGCGUAGGCGAUCUUCUCCAGCUCUGUCAUGUUGCAUUUGGACGGUGUCAGGACCUCGGAGACGUAAUAAACGGGGCACUGUCUGACAGCGCCUUCGACUGUCUGCUCCUGCACUAGUGCCGCGCUGACUGCGUGCGGCGAAGCCGCAACAUAGAGCAAUAGGGGGAGCGAGGAGUCGAGGCUUGUGAGGAUGGCCAGCUCCGUUAGAUAUUGUUUUAAUGAGGCGAAGGCCGCUGCUUGCUCCGGCCCCCAGGCGAAGUCUUUUGCGCCGCGGAGAGUUCUGAGGAAAGGAAGACUUCUCUCGGCCGACCUGGUGAUGAAUCUGUUGAGAGCGGCCAAUCUGCCUGUCAGACGCUGGACGUCCCUGACGGACUGCGGAGGCGACAUGUCGAUGAUGGCCUGGAUCUUGGUUGGGUUGGCCUCGAUGCCGCGGCGCGACACCAGGUAGCCCAAUAUCUUGCCCUGGCGAACACCGAAAACGCAUUUUUCCGGGUUUAAGCGGAGUCGUGCAUCUCGCAUGUUUGCGAAUGUCUCGGCAAGGUCGGUGAGAUGGUCCGCCUUAUUUUUGCUGGCGACGACGAUGUCGUCCACAUAUGUAAAUAUAUUUCUGCCGACCUGCCCUUCGAGUACUGUUUUGGUGAGUCUGGAGAAGGUGGACCCGGCAUUCUUGAGACCCUCCGGCAUUCUGAUGAAGCAAUAAGUGCCGAAGGGUGUUAUAAAGCUGGUGCUAGCCUUGUCUUCCGUCUUCAUGUAUAUCUGGUGAUAGCCGGAGAAGCAGUCGAGGAGAGACAUGACCUCGCAUCCGGCCGCGCUAUCGACUAUUUUGUCGAUCCGUGGCAACGGGAAAUUGUCUUUUGGGCAGGCCUUAUUGAGACUGGUGAAGUCUAUGCACAUCCGCCAUUUCCCGCUUUUUUUCUGCACCAUUACAACAUUGGAGAGCCAUGUGGGGUAAGCCACUGGCUCGAUGAAUUUAGCCUCUAGGAGGCGGUGCACCUCCACCUUGGCGGCCUCUGUCUUUUCGUCAGACAUUUUGCGAAGCCUUUGCUUUCUUGGUCGCACCGAGGGGUCAAUUCCCAAACUGUGCUCGAUUAAGGAUCGGCUGACUCCGACCAGGUCGAGGGCGGACCAGGCGAAGACAUCUUUAUUCUUGGCCAGGCAGCAGAGGAGCUUCUCUUCUUCAUGCGGAGUAAGGUCUUCGCUGAUGGUGACUGUCUGCUUUGGCGUGGCCUGAUCGAGGGGGACAGUCUUGGUCCCAUCCUGACUCUGCAACUGGGCCUUGUCGUGCUGCUUGUCAGUUGGGCUGGCGGGCGCAGGGACCUCGCACUGUGUCGUGAGAUAGUGCACGUUCCUCUGACCAGGCACGAAGUCCCGCUCUAUGUUGCGCGCUGUCUGCUGGUUGCCGUGGACUGUAAUUACGCCUAGCGGGCCUAGUAUCUUCAUGCACAAAUACAGUCCGUGGAUGGCAGCUUCAAACUUAUUGAUGGAGCCCCGACCCAUGAUGGCGUUGUAUGGAUAUACCAUAUCCACA
rnacentral:lncRNA from 1 species